rnacentral:rRNA from 1 species
CCCCCGCAUUAUUGGCCCCAGACGGAGAGAACAACACUGUCAUGACGAACGCUGGCGGCGUGCUAAUACAUGCAAGUCGUACGCUCUUUUCCACCGGAGCUUGCUCCACCGGAAAAAGAAGAGUGCGAACGGGUGAGUAACACGUGGGUAACUGCCCAUCAGAAGGGGAUAACACUUGGAAACAGGUGCUAAUACCGUAUAACAAUCGAAACCGCAUGGUUUGAUUGAAAGGGCGCUUUCGGGUGUCGCUGAUGGAUGGACCCGCGGUGCAUAGCUAGUUGGUGAGGUAACGGCUCACCAAGGCUACGAUGCAUAGCCGACUGAGAGGGUGAUCGGCCACAUUGGGACUGAGACACGGCCCAAACUCCUACGGGAGGCAGCAGUAGGGAAUCUUCGGCAAUGGACGAAAGUCUGACCGAGCAACGCCGCGUGAGUGAAGAAGGUUUUCGGAUCGUAAAACUCUGUUGUUAGAGAAGAACAAGGAUGAGAGUAACUGUUCAUCCCUUGACGGUAUCUAACCAGAAAGCCACGGCUAACUACGUGCCAGCAGCCGCGGUAAUACGUAGGUGGCAAGCGUUGUCCGGAUUUAUUGGGCGUAAAGCGAGCGCAGGCGGUUUCUUAAGUCUGAUGUGAAAGCCCCCGGCUCAACCGGGGAGGGUCAUUGGAAACUGGGAGACUUGAGUGCAGAAGAGGAGAGUGGAAUUCCAUGUGUAGCGGUGAAAUGCGUAGAUAUAUGGAGGAACACCAGUGGCGAAGGCGGCUCUCUGGUCUGUAACUGACGCUGAGGCUCGAAAGCGUGGGGAGCAAACAGGAUUAGAUACCCUGGUAGUCCACGCCGUAAACGAUGAGUGCUAAGUGUUGGAGGGUUUCCGCCCUUCAGUGCUGCAGCUAACGCAUAAGCACUCCGCCUGGAGAACCGCC